GGUUGUGUAGUGUAGUGGUUAUCACUUUGGAUUUUGAUUGCUAUCAAACUUCCAAUAACCCCGGUUCGAACCCGGGCACGACCU
rfam:Madurella mycetomatis strain mm55 MMYC01_Sc2002, whole genome shotgun sequence.